UGGCCGUGUCAGAGCAGCGCCCUCCUGUCGCUUCCCAGUAGCCGCCUAUUGCUUUCUGUUCUUCAGCGAAGAGCCGCCGACUUGCUCCAAGCCACUACUGCAUCGGGAACAGGGCCUCGUGAGGGAGGCCACCCCCUCCCCAUGGGGUGCCCGCCGUGGGGACUGUGGGGCAUAGUCGCCCCUCCACGCCGGGCCGGGGAGUCCAGCAGAGCCCGCUGGGAGGGCAGGAGUUGCUGCGCGGCUUUAGAAGUCGCCGCGGAGCAGUGAUUGCUGCAGCGAGGAGGGAGGUCAGCAGAGCUGACCUGGCUGCUUAGCUGCUCGCGGGCGAGCACAAAAUGUCCAUCUGCAUCCUCGCGUUCGGCUUGCUGCAGACCGAAAAUCUGAUAUCGUCAUCUGAUCACUGUUUUGGGCCAAUUUUCUGAGCAAUCCUGCCGUGAGGCGCAUGACUGACACUCCUGUAGGUUUGCAGGCUAAGUCAAAUGCUUACCCAGGUGCCCAGUCUUGAGACCUGACAUAGAACUUUAUUUCUCCAAUGUCACAGAAGACACGUGUGGGUUACCUCUCUCGAAGAAACUUCAUUGCCAGACUAACCUUAGGAUUCUUGUAGCAGCAGAUAAAGACAUUGCUGUUGGUAUUGUGGUUUCAAGCAGCAGCCUAAGGGCCCGCCACUCUCCUGGCUUUGUUUCCGAGGGCCUAUGAGCCUAAAUGGGGGCAAGAAGCCACUGCAGUGCGGUUGGUUGCCCGCCCUGGCUGGAGCCUGGUGUGCAGGCACAGCGGGACCAGCACGGUGCCUCGGGGUGAGCCUGGGGCUGCCCCGCUCCGGCAGCGCCGGCCUGCCGCCUGCAGUGACCAGCAAUGCCCGUUCAUGGUUCAUGUUGAAUUUAGUUGCAGCAGACGGUGCAUACCACUGAAGGCUUUGUCCCUCAAGGCUGGGAUAAACGCUUUAUGCACUGAAUCUUCCACUGGUUUGUUCCACUGCUGACAAUUUACUUAAUUCUCUUGUAUGUAAGAACACAGCUCAGAAAUAAUCUGUAAAGGACCUAUGCAUAACUGCUGAGUUUUACAGGUCUCAUCCUCUCAGGAAGUAGAGCAUCUCUAUUGCACUUAAGAAGCCGAGGCAAUAGAGCCCAAAAAUACUGAGACGGCACCAGUGAUCUGAAUCUUGAAAUUUUAUUCUCUGAUUCAACGUGUUACAAACAAACAUAUUCCACCUGUUACAACAAUCUGGCAUAUUACUUCCUUGAUACGUGAUGAUACAAUACCUCUCAGGUUUGCUGAGUAGCAAAGAGAAAUUGAGAGUACUGCUGGAACAGCAAUUUAACUUCCAGGAAAAUUCAGCAAAUCUUUUGAGACUUAAAGCAUGUGAGAAGUCAAGCACUGUCCAAGUGAGCAUGAUAUUCACAACCAUUUUUAAACCCUGAGAUAGAAUUUUAGGGUUUGCAAACGAUAAUAAAAUUAUUGUCUAAAAUUUUGCUUUUAAUAUAUGUAAACAUCCUAAGGGAUUAAAAAUGUGUUCUGCUUCA